rnacentral:rRNA from 1 species
CAAUAGCGUAUAUUUAAGUUGCUGCAGUUAAAAAGCUCGUAGUUGGAUUUCGGGUGGGAAUGGCCGGUCCGCCGUUUCGGUGUGCACUUGCUACGCCCACCUUGCUGCCGGGGACGUGCUCUUGAGUUCACGCUCGGGACACGGAGUCGGCGAGGUUACUUUGAGUAAAUUAGAGUGUUCAAAGCAGGCCUACGCUCUGAAUACAUUAGCAUGGAAUAACACGAUAGGACUCUGGCCUAUCUUGUUGGUCUGUAGGACCGGAGUAAUGAUUAAGAGGGACAGUCGGGGGCAUUCGUAUUUCAUUGUCAGAGGUGAAAUUCUUGGAUUUAUGAAAGACGAACUACUGCGAAAGCAUUUGCCAAGGAUAUUUUCAUUAA